GCCAGACUCCUGCGGGAGGCAGCAGUGGGGAAUAUUGCACAAUGGGGGGAACCCUGAUGCAGCGACGCCGCGUGAAGGAAGAAGUAUUUCGGUAUGUAAACUUCUAUCAGCAGGGAAGAAAAUGACGGUACCUGACUAAGAAGCCCCGGCUAACUACGUGCCAGCAGCCGCGGUAAUACGUAGGGGGCAAGCGUUAUCCGGAUUUACUGGGUGUAAAGGGGGCGUAGACGGUGAUGCAAGUCAGAAGUGAAAGCCCGGGGCUCAACUCCGGGACUGCUUUUGAAACUGUGUGACUGGAGUGCAGGAGAGGUAAGCGGAAUUCCUGGUGUAGCGGCGAAAUGCGUAGAUAUCAGGAGGAACACCAGUGGCGAAGGCGGCUUACUGGACUGUAACUGACGUUGAGGCUCGAAAGCGUGGGGAGCAAACAGGAUUAGAUACCCCAGUAA
rnacentral:rRNA from 1 species